GAUGAAGAACGUAGCGAAAUGCGAUAAGUAAUGUGAAUUGCAGAAUUCAGUGAAUCAUCGAAUCUUUGAACGCACAUUGCGCCCGCCAGUAUUCUGGCGGGCAUGCCUGUUCGAGCGUCAUUUCAACCAUCAAGCCCCCGGGCUUGUGUUGGGGACCUGCGGCUGCCGCAGGCCCUGAAAAGCAGUGGCGGGCUCGCUGUCACACCGAGCGUAGUAGAUUUUAUCUCGCUCUGGGCGUGCUGCGGGUUCCGGCCGUUAAACCACCCUUUUAACCCAAGGUUGACCUCGGAUCAGGUAGGAAGACCCGCUGAACUUAAGCAUAUCAAAGGA
rnacentral:misc_RNA from 1 species